AUUAUAAAUAUUUUUCUAUUUCAUAUGAGCCAGAACAUAUUUUUAAAUUACCAGAAUUAGCAUAUUUGUAGCUACAUUAGUUCAAUUUCUAUAACUGUAAUAGUAUGCAAUUUAGCAGUAGUUGUAAUCAUCUAAUGUUGUUAUUAUCGGUGAACCCUGCGGUAUAGCAAAUUUUUUUGGCCUUCAUUACAUUCACUGACGGAUCCUUGCAAAACCGAUGAUGCAUGUAUUGCGUACUUAGACACUUCUUAAAUUUGUAAUUUUCCAGCUUGUUUGCCUGUAAUUUUUUUGGUUUUAUACAAUAACCAAUGAGGAUCAAUACUCACAAUGUAAGGAAUAAAGUGGGGGCCAACUUCACGUCUGAUUCGAUUUUCUACAAAAGGCAGAUUCCCAGUAAGGUAUCUGUUUUGGCUUUUUUUUAAGUUUGCAUUUAGGAUGUUUUGAUUCUUUGAAAAAGUAUGAUGUGCAUAGCUGAUCUUAGUUCGAUGCGUAAUAUUUUGUUCAGCAUCAGUACCAUAGGAUAUUGAAGCAUCUUUUUGGAGCAUGCUACUUUAUUUUUCCUCUCUUUGUGCGAUGUUAAGUGGAGCCAUUCACAUUUUAAUCAUUGCACGAAGGGAUUAGAGAUAGAUGGGAGUCAAAUCCUGAAAUGAUUUUAGAUUGCUUUCUACAAUUUUGGGGGUAAUGAGGCUCAUCUCAUUUUCGAGCCCAAAUCAUGUCAUUUUGGUAUCCAAUCAUCUUCCCUUUUUUUUUGGCUGUUUAAUGAAUUAACUUUUGUUUGCUACUAUUUUUAUCUUAUAUGAAUUCAAAUUGGGUCAUGAUUAUUGCAUUCUAUUGAAUAGCUGAAAUGCUUUCUGGAAAAGUAGAAACUCCAAAAUGGAGUUUAUACCUUUCGAGUUUCGUCUCAAACUGGAGGUUAAUUGAAAAACUUGUGGGGCCUUUUAGAUUAACUCUAUUCGAACUGCACUUCUAAAGGAAACUGCUGCAGAGUCAAAUAGGCCCUUCUAAUGUUUAUGGAUGCUUCUUUUUAGUUGCGAUCUUCAUUGUUCCCUUUGUUCUUACAUCAAAUUGGAUAGUUAAACCUUACAAUUCAACUUGAUUGACUGUGAUCCAACAAGAUCUGUAUUAUGUUCAGAAUAAUUCACUUAAGAAUAAUACACUUUAGAGAACAAGUGCUUACUGAACUGUUGUUACAGCAUAGCAAAGAUUUCAUACAUAUACUGUGUAAUAAAUGCAUUGAGGCAAUACCAUGGAUUUACCUGAUUUUAAACAAGCUUCAACUUAAGGUUCGCUUCGACAAUAUUCCCUUCCUGCACAAUUUCCUUUAAUGCUUCUGUUCUUUUGACUCUUAGUGAUAUAUGUGAGCUACCAUCUUCUGCAUUGCCUUUUGGUGUUUGCUACAUCUUUUAAAGUUGAUUCAUAGUAAAUUAUAAUUUUGCCAAAAUUUGGAUAUUUGAGAGGCUUUUUUUUAUUUUUUUUGCUUAGUCUAUAGGAUUAUGAAACAAUGUUAGGUGUUAUGGGUUUGACCCAGCAUGAAACAAGCCCGCAUUAGUUUUGAAUUAUAAUGUUAAUGGGCUUGGCCCAAUCAAUUUAAGUAUGAUCGUGGUGCAAUUGGGCUUGAUUCUGAUCCAUUAAUGGUCCCUAAAGUAUUGCAUGAGUUUCGUUUUAUUAAAAAAUGGGAAAUAAUAAUAAUAAUAAUUAGGAAUAUAAUUGCUAAAAUUAAAUGGUGAUUUUUAAUCUGCUUCUUUGUGUUUCUUAUAAAAAAUAAUUUUAUAAUUUUCACAAUGCCUUGAGUUUGUUAAGAAGAAGAUAUUAUAUAUUAAAUAAGAAUUUGGAUAUUUGACAGGCUCUUUUUUUUUUUUACGGGUCAGAUCAUAUAAUAAGAAAUAAUCUAAUUCUUCCAUGUUGGAUGACCUGUUUAUAGGCCAGUUGUACUAUUUAACUCCUGGAUCCGGAUUGGCCCUUCAAUUCAGGCCUCAACAUAGACCUACGCCCAGGAAGCUACAGGCCCUUCGGCUUCGAGUGCUUAGUAAGGCUUCGUUUGGGAUUGCGGGGAGAUUGUUAGAGUCGCUAGCUCUUCUUUCUGUUUUCACGAAUCCUGUGAACGAAAGAUGGCGGUUUGGCCCAGCAUGAAACAAGCCCGGAUUAGUUUUGAAUUAUAAUGAAUUAUAAUGAAACAAGCCCGGAUUAUUUAAUUUGAUUUGAAUUAUAACGAUUAAAAUGUAUUCAUGCCCAUUAGAAAAUGUAAAAACAUAUAUACUUUUAUCUUAAAAUAUUCGAAGAAAUGUAAUCUCAAAACUAAUUUGUAGAAUACAUGUAUCCUUUGGAUUUCUGUACCAAAAUCAAAUCGCUGAAACCAAAAAAACUAUGUUUGAAUUUCUAAACAUAAAAAAAGUUACAUGGCAAAAAAGAGGUUACAAUUUAACAAUGAAACUAAGUAUAUCACAACUAAGAGAAACUACAUGCAUUCCAUUACUAAAGUCGAACACUUAGAAUACUAUGAAUAGUCACAAUGUGAAAAUUCCAUUAUUGUUUUAAAAAUACAAAAUUGUUUAUGUUUUCUCAAUUUUUAUCCAAUAUUAAUCCAUCUUUAUUAUUUGAAUUUUCAGGAUGAACCAAAAUGAUAGGUUUUCUCGAUUGAGUGAUUCGAAUCUAUUCAUCAGCUUUUUCGAUGAAAUGCUGAUUGACUCUUAUGCAUCAAUGGCGUCAUGUGUAUUAGGUUUUGAUUGUUAAAGUAUAAGAGGCUAUGAUGAUAAAAAUGUUUCUUCCUUGAACAAUGCUGAUUUUGGAAGCUUCCCUAUUUAGUAAGGUUAAUAUAAAUUCGAAUCCCUCUCAUUUUUUAGAAUUUUGAUAUACAAUAUAAGAGUUUUAUGGCAAGACAGCUUGGAUAGCCUAAGGCAACCGUUGCAGCCAUUUACUCUUAAAAGGUUUUGGGAAGGGAGGAGCCGAUUUAUGGGUAUAUAUCAUUGUGAUUAAGUAAAAGUAUAUCUGAGCCUCUAUCAUUUACUCUAUAUAAUUAUUUACUGUCUGUUUUUUGUUUGUUUGACCAAAAUAAUUGUCUUUAGAUAUUUCGUUCAUUCAUCACACUUGCUUUGGUUAAUUGUACGUUAUUCUUUAUUAGCACUAUUGUUUAUAUUAUAUUUUGAUACUUUACCCAUCACAAAAAAGUGUUAAUUUUUUAAAAAAUCAAGCUCAGGGAUUGUCGAUUCAAACUUAUUUUUGAAACUAAAAGAGCCCCCGACAUAAGUGGAACAUUGAAGAGAGCAACUAUUAUGCUUUUAGUUUGAAAGUGCAGUUUGACUUUUGCUUUUCUUUUUUUCGCUGGUAGAUUUUGGUGAAGUUAUGUGGUCUUUUUUCUCAAAGUGUGUGCUUUUCAUUACCGAGCUUGCUAUGCUGUUUUUAACCUCUUAGUUGCUUGGUAGUAUAAUUUCAAUCUUUCAAGUAUCAAGAUGUAAGAAUUGCUAUACAUGAGAGGAUCUAGAUGAUUAGUUCUUCCUCCUGACGAAAAAUAAGAUAAAAAAGAAGUCAAGGUGAGGUGUCUAGGUUUAACAAAUCUCUAUAUAUUUCUAUAUUUAAAGACCAAUCCACAUAGAAGUCCAUGGAAUUUAGAUAAGAAAAAUUAAAUUAAAUUUAUUUUGAAGUAUUUUUUCAAAUUAAAUUGAAGUUCAACUAAAUUUUAUUUUUUUUUUAUUGUUGGGUAAAAAAAUUAGAAAUUAUUUUAAUGUACUUACUUUUUUCCAUGAUUCUGUAUAUUACAUAAUGUUUAUCUAUCAACUUGCUCGGCGUCGAGGCUUUACCUUAAUUUAGAAAUACCAGAAGUUGUACAAUUCGAGAGCAAUCUGCGCAGAAAGCAAACAUUGGUUGUACUGAUUCAGCGUAUUGAAUCUGAUGAUAAACCACUUCUUUCACCGCUGGAACAAAUGACGAAAAAUCGUAAAACUAUUGCUGAAUUAAUUAGUCCAAACCUACCUGAAGAGCAGCUCUUCUUUUACUACUUCGCCUUCGAUACCGCACUCUUUGAGGGAUUUACGGUUCAACACCAUCCCCUCCAACCUGUCGUCGAGCUCACCCUUUUCUUUUUGGGCGCCCUUUCUAAAUCCCUCACCUAGCAGCUUCUGCUCUGAAUCCUAUGUACACACUCCAAGUGGGAGGGUUAGCAAUUUUCACCUAAAGCCUACUGACCUCCCUCUGCUUUGCUGAAGCAAGCUUAUGUGUAUCAUCUGCGCAACAGGGUCCUUCAUCUUCAGGAUUUGUGAAUGAGGUCUACUAUAUAGGUAACCAGUAGAAUGAACAAAUUAAUGAUUAAAGAGGGUAGCGAUACAAGAUCAGAGAUGAUAAAGAAGGAAAUGGAGAAAAGAAUGAAAGCACUCUGAGAAGAGAUGGGGAUAGGAACAAAGAGGGGAAAGAAAUUCGAAAAACUGCUUAGAAAAGUUGAAAAAAGCUUUGAGUCACUUACAAGAACAAUUGACGAUAUUGUUUUUCUUGGUCCUGAAGAUAGAGAAUUUUCAGCUGGAACAUUUUCAGCCUUCAUUGCUGAUAAAAUCUGAGCCCUUUAUAUUUCUUAUUCUCCUUUUAGUUCGAAUCAUUACUUUCCUAUAUCUCUAGCUUUUCUAUGUAUAUUUGGCUCAAUUCACGUGGAUUCAAUUUUAUGUUGUAUAUAAUCUUACGAUUUUUGCUCCGGUUUUAUACGAUAAGCAGUGAUGAAAAAAAAGUACUUCCUUCAAAUGGUUGGCUUCCUUUUCCUCCUCGCAUUUUUAAUUCUCCAAAAAGAAUGAUUGAGUGCUGGGAUGUCUUUGCAAAUUGGAUGGCCCUUUGGCAACGAUUGCAUGCAAACAAUUCGCUGGUACAUUGCAAAUUUGAUGGCCGAUGGGCAACCAUUGCAUACAAGUAAUGCGGUGGUGCGAGGGGGGGAAGAUGGUGGCUGCUUUUUUAGGCAAAAUUAUCUGAGCUUAUCCAUUAUUUAUAUUAACAAAAAAAAAAUCGUGACUACAUGUGUUUUGCAUUACAGA